GCCCGGCGGCGGAGGCGGCACGGCUGGGGCAGGGCGGCCCGCGACGCCCCGGCCCGCUCGCACGCCCACACUGCCUGGCGCCCCUCGCCACCCGCGUGCCCGCCGCAGCCGGCCAGACGCGCACCCGCGCUUACGGUCCUUCUCCCGGCUGGAGUAAAGUUCCUGCGGAAUUGGAGGCAAGUGGGGGACGGACGGACGCACGGGCGCGGGACAGACCCACGUCCAGCCAGUGGAGGCCCAAGAGCCGGCGGGCGCGUUUGGGGACCGACCCACAGACACCGCGGCGCGGGAGGGCGUGCGGGCAGGAAAUUUGGACUGGCAGGAGAUGUGCAGGGGAACUCGACAGACUCAACUUCCCUAAGAGGAGGAGGUGAUCGAUGAAAUAGACGUGGGAGGAAGUCUGGGAAAUGGGAGAAGAGGCUGGUGGAUGGCAGAGUCAGUCCACAAUGAGAGGACAACAGUCAGGCACUUUGCCAUUUCCACGAAGAGACCUGCAGGAAUGGGAGAUGGAGACCGGUGUACACUGGCUUACGGAGUGGACAAUGGAAGUAGACAUUUGCCAAACAGGUUAUUGACAGCACAGAAGAAAAGACAAAAGAUCGACAGGGCAGAGAAAUGAUGCUGAACAUACUUGUACAGUUCAAGAAGAUGCCCAAAAAAUAUAAACUGUCUUGUUACGAAAAAAAAUUAGACCAGUUCUAGGAAUUGUUCAUCAUCAGUGUGUCUUAGGGGAUGACCCAGAGAUACUUGAUACAUCUGUUGAAGGACGGGAACAGCAUAUGAAAGGCCCUGAACUGAGUCUCAAAAAUUCUACCCCCCACUUCCCUCACCUCUCCAAAAAGGCCAAACAUUUGGGUAGGAUCAUAAAAGGAAACUAGUCCCCUGUGCAAGUGGAUGGGUGAAAGACGGAGCAUAAGGCUUAACAGGAAUACCUGCUCCUACAUGUGCCUUAUGACCAUUUGCUCUUCAUUGGGGGAGAUUACUCUCUGGAAGGGCCACAUCCACACUGAAAGCCUUUGAGCCAAGUACACAAAAAUAUACGCUAACGGCUGAUUGGAGAGUUAGGUCCUGCAAGAAGUUAAAGUAAGGUAUGGAGUUGCCCUAGCAAUUUCAGAGGACACAUUGUCCUGAAGUGGGAGGCCAGUUUUAUCUGUGGAAAAGAAAGUCGGCUGUAAGGUACAGGAUAAGUGAGAUGCAAACUCAAUCAGGAAUUAUAGCAGGACCCUACAGGAAUUUGGAGAGAGUGAUCUCAGACACCAGAGCUCUUCCAGCUUUUUUCUAAAACAUACAUAAUAUUAAAUGAUAAAGACAAGUUUUUUAGAAGCCAGAACUUUUCAUACUUUAUACUUUUAAUCCAAACAUGAAAGGUCUUGAUUUUAACCUGGGGUCCCUCCAAUUCCCUUAUUGCUGGAGCACCUACUGUGGAUGAGGCUGGAGACUGGAGGUAGGGAGAGGGUUAUUUUCAAAUUUUUUGCCAAGGCAUCUCAAAAUCAAGCUUAUACCACCGGUAAAAGUUAUUUAUUUAUGGAAAUUUUAGGGAAAAUCACUCCAACUAUUUCUAAACAUCAUAAAGACAUGGAAAAUUACACUUUCCCUGCUGUGAAAGAUAUCUUUCGACCUUUUGUCCAGUCAAAUAACUCAAAAACAGCUGAACUUUGAAACCAGACCUUGGCACACAUUGUAUGUAUUCUCCUCAAUGAGGCGUUCAGAGUUUUCAAAGUAAAAAAAAAAAAAAAAA
ensembl:lncRNA